rnacentral:lncRNA from 1 species
AUAAAUACAACUAUAUACUCUAAUAUAUCCAUACAUUAAUACAUAUGCAAAAUACAUACUUAUUAACUUAUACAAUGCAUACAAAAUUAACCCAAAGUACACAUACAUAACUUGCUAUCAUGAACUCAAAGUACAUGAACUAUGAUGAGAAAAUGUCCAAAAUCUUUGAUUGCUUGCACAUCAUAAUAGAAUAAAUUCUCGUGUUGCUUCUAACUUUCAACUUAUACUAAAUGACACACAAAAUAAAUAUUAAAUCACACACAAAGGAAACUGUGUUUCGUUGCUUAAUUGAAACAUUCAAACGAAACAUCAAAACCCACAACCACUCCUGAAUUCAUCAUCUUCUUCAGCUCUUUGGCACUCUUCCUUUUCUUUCCCUGUCAAAUGAAUCGAACCCAAAGAUCCACCUGAUUUCGGUUCUUCUUCCCUCCUUAUUCAGUACAAGCAAAGAAAACUCCACCUUCUUCUUUAUCUUUCUUCUUUCCUCAACAGCUAGAGCACAAAUGGUGCUCCCUUGAUCAACGACUGUAAAAGCCUCUCCCUCCUCCUUCUACCUUUUCCUGUCAAAAAAAAUAAAUAAAUAAAACAAACACCCCCUCUGAUCGACUUUUCUGGCUGCAUCGUCAUCCUUUGGGUUGGAUGCAAAACCACAAAAAAAUAAAAAAAAUAAAAAGAUUAAGUCGCUGCUUACCUUGCCCCAUCGAAGACUUCCUUUCGGUUCUGCCUUGGUUUCCCCUUCGCGACCAGCGAAAGACCGGAUACCUCUUUUCCCUCGCUUUCCUUCUCUCCUGUUCCCAUCGACCACAGACCUCCGAAUGUCUCGUCUUCGAUGCUACUGCUUCUUGCGACGCCGGAACUUCGCACCUUGCAGCCGGACGAGAAGAGGGAAGCUUCGCUGCUUCUUCUCUUCGUUUCUUCGGCCUCGACAACCCCCGGAGACGCUCCUUCCGCCUACGAUCGAUCCACGACCCUCAGAUCUCGUACCCGCCUGCGAGCCUUCGUGCUCCCUCUUGCCGCCGUCGUUGUUCGUGUCUAUGUCGUUCCUUCGUGUUCAUCUUCCUUCCAUUUGAACGAUCAGACAAAAACGGGACAUAAAAGCCCUAAUUUCCUUUCGACUUUGAUUAAGUUGAUAAAAUAACCCGUACAACAUUUAUUUUAGAAAUCAGCCCCAAACCCCCAAAUAUUGAACCCAUUUAUUCAAAAUAGCACCUCUUUUGGUUAUUUUUAACAAAAUAGCACCUCUUUUGGUUAAUUCUAACAAAAUAAAUCCCAAUAUACAAACUUUCAAUAAAAAUAAUAUGUUCAACCCCUG